GCAAGUCGAGCGCUGCCCUUCGGGGAGGAGCGGCGGACGGGUUAGUAACGCGUGGGAACAUACCCUUUUCUAUGGAAUAGCCUUUGGAAACGAAGAGUAAUACCUUAUACGCCCUUUGGGGGAAAGAUUUAUCGGAGAAGGAUUAGCCCGCGUUAGAUUAGGUAGUUGGUGGGGUAAUGGCCUACCAAGCCUACGAUCUAUAGCUGGUUUGAGAGGAUGAUC
rnacentral:rRNA from 1 species